AUCUAAACCUGCUAUUGGGAAUUACAAUCCCUGCCGUCGUGGUUCUGGCUGUGGUGCUUUAUCUGCUGGGAAAGAAAGUUGCGUCUCUACCAAGGGAACAAAGGGAACAAGUCCAGCAUGACACCAGCAACACUCCUGAAGAU